CUCUUAAUAAGGGACUGUCCUCAAACUCCCUGCCAGGAAUAGACUUGGAAAUGGGAAGUCUGAGAAGAAAGGGACCCACACCCGUUGCCCCCUGAAGGAGGAAGAAUGACAAGGGGGAUCCUGGAGGCUGGAAUUCUAAGAGGGCAACAAAAGAUAAAAGGAUCCUAGAUCCCUGAGCAACUUCAAGGAGAAGCAACUCACCAUGUUGGAUUGCAAUGUGAGCAACCUCAAGUAAUGAAAUAAUCCAUUAUCUGUGAGAGGAUGUCUGCUACCUAUGGAUGUAAAUGUGCUUUAUGUUCAGGGCCUCCUGGUCCUUGGACUUUGAAACAAAACCUGAAUGACAGCUAUGAGCAAUUCCAGCCUGGCUCCUGAUUAGCUAUGCCAAACAAAACAACUCUCUGCAGUGUAAACUUUCCAGGCAUCUGCAACCAAGCCUCUGUAGAGACUAUAAUUCCUCAGUGAGAUUUGAAGGAGAGUCAGAGGUU